UGCCUCCCAUCCAUUUCGUUACAGUUUGUUGGAGGAAAACGCUUUAUGGUCCUAUUGUAAGUUUAACUGCGUCCACAAAAAAAGAACCACACUUUCAUUGCAAAAAGCCCAAGGGCUAAGACCUUAUUUGACACCUCCUACGAGUAAUCAUUAUAGCAAGUACUGUGCCUCUGUCAAAAUCAUAGUAGAGCUGUGAAAAUCCUGAAAAUCCUGAACUGAGACAAUUACAUUGAACAAAGAAACCAGUUGGAAAAAUGCCUCAGUGAGACUUAACACACCUAUGGCAUCAUGUGCGACAUCACAGCCACUGCUGGAGGCUAAUCUCCAACCACUGGGAUCUGAUUUUCAGCAGUAUUGACAGUUCAAGAAUCAAUCUGUGCCAGCUUCCUCUCUACUGAACCGGAUGCCGCUCUCAUACUACGCAUGUGACUGAGCUGUACGACUCAGUUUCCCUGUGCUGUGUGCCUGU
ensembl:lncRNA